GACUCAUCAAUUACUGACAUACAUUAAACAUGGCGGAAAUGUCAUAGCGUAGCGCAGUAAACGCGUCCAUCCGUAGAGAUUUUUCUUGAAUUUCGCAUUGUUUCUGACACAUCCUGUGAUCAUGUCUGACCACGAUAUUUCAGCACUCUCUCUGGAGGACCUGAGGGUCGAAAUCGGUAGACUUCACCAGGAACUAACGGAAACCAAUCAAGAAAAAAUCCGUGCGGCGGAAUAUGGAUUGGCAGUGUUGGAAGAACGAAAUAACCUGGAAGCUCGAAUCGAGGAGCUAGAAGCCCAUCUCGAGGCGAGCAAAACUGAGUUGGAGCAUGCGAAAGAGGCUCUAAGUAAACAUCAGGUGACUUUUCGAAAACAAAAUGAGAGUGGCAUUAACAUAGAAGAUUCAAUAAUCCAAGAAUCAGCUUCAAGAGAGCAAGGAUAUAAAGAGAACAUCACAGAAUUAGAAGCUGAACUAAAAAAUGUCAAGCAGACCAAAGAACGCUUGGUUUCGGAACAUUCCACCAUGGCUAGUCUUGUUUCAGACUUACAAACAAAGGUUGAUCAAUUGGAAGAUCAGAGGCGCCAGCUUAAGAGUGAGUUAAAAGAAUUCAAAGUCCGCGAAAACAGAAAUAUAAGUGAUUAUGGUGAGCUGGAAGAUGAAAACAUUUCUCUUCAGAAACAGGUUUCUGUGCUUAAACAGAGUCAGGUUGAAUAUGAAGGCUUGAAACAUGAGAAAAAGCGAUUAGAAGAAGAGAUGGAUGAUUUACACAUGCAGUUGGAAGAAAGUUCAACUUUGAAAAAGAUAGUUGAUAAGAACCUUGAAGAAGCUCUUAAUGCCUUGCAAGUUGAAAGAGAACAAAAACAUGCUUUAAAAAAGGAGUUGGAUGCAAAAACCAUGCAGGAGUCCAUGUUUCAUUUGAGUAAUUUAGCUCAGCUUAGUGGCUUAAGUGAAGGUUUGACUAUGAGUUACACAGAAGUUGAUCAUGAUGACGAUGAAAGUCAUGAUACUGCUGGAAUAAAGGCUGAUCCUAACAGUGAUACUAAACAAUUUAUGGUUAAUUCAAGAAAGUCAUCAGGAAAGGUUAAUGAUAUAUUGAGUGAAAUUCAACAUAAUGAAGUGAAGAAACUGUCAGAUCUUCUGGAACAAAGUGAAGAUGAAAAAUCAGAAAUGCAAAAGGCGUUAGAUGAAGCAAAGAGGUUAAUUCAAGAAACACAGAAAGAUCUAAUUGAUCAGCGUGAUAGGGUGAAUCAUUUGAAAUCUCAGAUAACAACAGCUCUUGGUGUAAAUGGUAGUGUGUCUACACCUGAUACUGCUGCAGCUGAGGAGUUUGAUAGGCUUAUUGAAAAUGAGUCAGAUGAUGAAAAGAAAGCACUAUUGCAAUUGAAGAAAAAUCUGGUAUUAAAUGAACAUAAAUAUGCCAAUGCAUUGAAACAAAUGGGUGAUUUACAAUUGGAAAUCAGCAAACUAAUGGAAAAGAAUGCCAAUGGAACUUUAAGUUCUGAAGAUCCAAAUGUUACUGAGUCAUUGAAUCAGCUGUUUUCAAAAUGCAAACAAUAUGAAGAAAUAAUUAAGGACAUGGAAAAAGACCUUAAAAUUGUCUCCAAGGUUGCUGGUGAGUCACAGUCCUCAUUGAAUGCUACACAGGAUGAAAUGUUAAAAGUGACUGAAGAACUAGCUCAGUUGUAUCACUUGGUCUGUGAAGUGAGUGGAGAAACUCCAAGCCGGGUAAUGCUUCAGCAUGCAAAAGCUAUUGACAAAAUCACAAAAUCUGAUUCUAAACCUGAAAUUGAAGACACUGAAAAAGAACCAGAAUCUUCACCAGAUACAGAUUCUCUCUUGCGGAAAAAGAAGAGAGCUAAACCAAAGAAAACAUCUGUGGAAGAAUUGGAGAAUAGUGUGAAAGCAAAUGCCAUCUCUUGUGCAAAACUGAGUGAGACUAUUCUUGACCAGACCAAACAUCUGAAAAAAUCUGUGGAGCAUUUAAUGGAAGUUUCCAGGAGAACAACAGAUGACAAUGAACAGUCUGAUGCUCAAGAACUUCAAGAGCAAAUUGUAAAACUGAAAGCAAUGUUGUCAACAAAGAGGGAGCAGAUUGCCACCCUUAGAAGUGUUUUGAAAGCCAACAAGUCAACUGCUGAAUUUGCUCUAGCAAACCUGAAACAGAAGUAUGAAAACGAAAAGGUCAUUGUCACAGAGACAAUGAUGAAGUUAAGGAAUGAACUGAAAGCACUGAAGGAGGAUGCAGCCACAUUUGCCUCUCUUCGGGCUAUGUUUGCUCAGCGUUGUGACGAGUAUGUGACUCAGUUGGACGAAUAUCAGCGCCAGUUGGCUGCCGCAGAGGAGGAAAAGAAGACUCUGAACUCUCUCCUAAGAAUGGCUAUCCAGCAAAAGCUUGCUCUGACUCAGCGUCUGGAAGACUUGGAGUUUGAUCGAGAGCGACGAAACAUGAGGCGCCCACCAGGGGGUGGUAGUGGUGGUGGUGGACGUAACAAGUCGGGGGCUUCAAAAGUAAGUCACUACAAUGAUGAACAGUCAUAUAGUGGGCGCUAUGGGGGAGGCAGACACCAAAACUAUCAAAACCAUCAUAGCCAUUCAAACCGAAGAGAUUAUUAGACCCUGAUUCCUUCAUCAUUGAGACAGCUGAUCUUUCUUUUAUGGGAGCAAUGUUUCUCCCUCCCUGGCAGUUGUUCAAGCCCACGGGCUAACAUGACCACCAGUAUGGAAUCAUCCAAUGGCUUUUUGUAAAUUGUUGAGCAGUGUUUUGAUUUAGUUCUGCUACCUUUGAAGGAACAGAGUCACAGUUACCAAAGACAUUUGCCCUGACCUUGCAUAGGUAAAGGUCACAGCUAUCUGCCAUAUUGAUAUUCCUUGUCAUGUUUAUGCUAUUCUGCACAGGUUUGUUUACCUUUUUAACUGCUGCUACUUUUCACAGUGAAUUUGUGUUGCCAUUUUGCUUUUUGUAACAGUGUAAACAUUUCGGAUGACCUUGACAUUAGAAUGUAGGUCAUCACCAGUAGCAACACAGUUCAGACUGGGGUAGCAGCAGAUCAAGCCAGUAAUUGGUCAAAAUGACCGAUCAGAUUUACAUUGAUAUGACUGUUCAUAGUGUAAAUUAUUAGAAUUUGUAGUAAAAUGUGACAAGCGGUCAUUGCCAAUAUCAUUUUAUUGUACUGUUGUUGCCUAGAGCCUUUGUAUAGCGAUCUGUGAUUAUAAUAUCUGACUAUAGCAAAUUUAUUAUGUUAUUUUAUUCCAAAUUUGUUCUAGUUCAAAUAUUUUAGGGAUUAAUAUACAUAUUGAUUUUAAUCUGGGUAUAAUAUACAGGUAUAUCUAGUGCAAUCAAAUACUUAGUAGAACAUUUCAACAGAUUUAUGUUAUGGUUGCUUUUAGUAGAUCAGUUAUAUCAUGGGUGGUUGACAUGUAACCUCAUGUAAUAUUUUUGUGUUUUGACUACUUAAUGAUAAUGAAAUUAAUAUAUAUAUUUAUUCAGAAUCAUUCUGACUAAAACAUUAAUUUUGUUCUUUAAUUUAUAUAUACAUUUUUAACAUUUUGGUGCUCCUAUGUAUUUUUUAUUUUCAUGUGGUGUACCACAGCAGGUCUGCUUUUUAAAUGUUUGUCAUUAAAUAGUCACUUGUUUGUGAGUUUAAUAAGAAAUCUUUAUCAUAUGCAUAACAGGAUUUUAGAAAUAAAAUACAUUAAUAUUAUUAAGAGUAUUUAUAGAUUAUUGUGUCUGGUGUAUUAUGAAGAAAAAAGUUAUUCAAAUUGAUAAAACUGUGAUUUGUUAGAUCAUGUCAUAUUUGUUCCUUUGUAAGAGACAUGCAUUAUUUUUCCAAGAAUGACAAAUGUGUUCAAUAAAUAUAUGGUCUUGUGUUCCAACAAAUUUCAUAUUUAUUAUAAAGUGCUCUUUUACUUCUUCAUUACAUUUUAAUACUGGCCUUUGUAUUUAUCAAUUAAAUAAAGUUUUAAAAACUUCGAGACCUUUUGGAAAUUGCAUGUUCUUGACUGCUAGGCCACAUAUGCAUGUACAUCAUGGGUGAAACAUAUUUUGUUUAAUAUUUAUUUACCAUUUAUCACUUUAACUCUUAACAGCUUUCACAUAUAAAUAUUAUUGUCUAGAAGUGUACAUUAUAUUAGGGUUAUUUUAUAUUUACAUUUUAUUGUCCAUGCCUAAAUUAUGAUGUGAUUGUUUUUUACACAUAUGUUCUACAUUCAAGCAAUAGGUAUUAUAAAUAUUGUUUGUACUCUUGGUGUUUUCAAGAAGACAAUUUUUAGCUACAUCUAAAAGCUUUACUAAUGUUUUUAAAAUUAAUAAUGUUGGCUUGAUUUGAGAAACUUUUCACAAUUGACAUUUGUUUUCAAUGUGUUUGUAUAUUAAAGUAUCUUUUUUUUAUAAACAAAAUGUAAAAUUGUUCACACUUUUUUAACAGCUUGCAUGGAUUUCAUUGGUUGGAUUGUGAUGUAACAUUUUAUAUGUUUUUUAUGUAUUUGUUUGUCUUAAAAAGUAAAAUAAAUAUUACUGAAAUUACA